rnacentral:lncRNA from 1 species
CUGUUCAUCUGGAGUCAUUACUACUAGAAUGUAUACUAUACUAGUAAAGAAUUGGUUUCUGUUGUUGUUUUUUACAGUAAUUGAAUCCUAUAGUUUUCUAAAGGCAGGUACAGACUGAGGUCAGGAAGAAAGAAAGAAAGAAAGGAAGAGGAGAGAAGAGAAGAGAAGAGAAGAGAAGAGAAGAGAAGAGUAGAGAAGAGAAGAGAAGAGAAGAGAAGAGGGAAAGGAAAGGAGGGAAGAAAAAGAACGAUCUUUGGAAACUAUGGAAUUGUGAAUGUAAAAGGGUCCCUAGAAACUGAGCAAGUCAAGUUUGUCAUUAAUGGGUCCAGUGAGCUCUCCAUCUCUGGAUGUAUGAAACCGGAUGACAAAGACCGAGGAAAAUCAUAACAAGGCUGAGAAUCUUCUAGACUUCCUACCUUCCCCUGAAUGAUGAAGAAAACCAGGCCUAUCCUUUAUUGGGAGUAGAGAGCAGCACGGCACAAUGUACAAUGACCAACAAUAGAUGGAGGCAGCCUGCACAGCGUCUUCCACGAUUCAGGCUUUCUACUGGCAAAACUGAACUGGAGAAUGGGUUCGUCGGGGCAGCUCCCAUCCCUGAAGACGACUGUGGGCCACUAGAGAUACAGCCCCUCAGGGGCUGUUUUUUUUUUUUUUUAAUAAAAAACAUUCUCUUUAG